rnacentral:rRNA from 1 species
GUGGGGAAUAUUGGGCAAUGGGCGCAAGCCUGACCCAGCAACGCCGCGUGAGUGAAGAAGGUUUUCGGAUCGUAAAGCUCUUUCGUUAGGGACGAACGUGCUCUUUGUGAAUAAUGAGGAGUAAUGACGGUACCUAAAUAAGAAGCCACGGCUAACUACGUGCCAGCAGCCGCGGUAAUACGUAGGUGGCAAGCGUUGUCCGGAAUUAUUGGGCGUAAAGCGCGCGCAGGCGGGAUAUCAAGUCUGUCUUAAAAGUGCGAGGCUCAACCUCGUGAGGGGACAGAAACUGGUAUUCUUGAGUGUCGGAGAGGAAAGUGGAAUUCCAAGUGUAGCGGUGAAAUGCGUAGAGAUUUGGAAGAACACCAGUGGCGAAGGCGACUUUCUGGACGAUGUCUGACGCUGAGGCGCGAAAGCUAGGGGAGCGAACGGGAUUAGAUACCCCUGUAGUCC